UCCCGCUGGCCUCUCUUCGCCGGAGCCGAGGGCUUUGUUUCCCGCGGUUCAGGUCUCGCAGGCGGUGGCGGGGUCUUCGUCUGGUGCCGGCGUCGCGUUCUGGUACUGAGGGGCUGGCGGAGGGUUGCAGAGCCUGAGUUGCAGUUACUCUGGAGAAACGCUUGUGCUUAUAAAAACAUCAGGCUUUUUCACUUAAAAAUUCAAAUCGAGGGUGAGAGAAGGAAAGGAAUAAAGGCAUUUUGCCAGCUGUACCACCCAAGAUAUCAAUCCUUAUUCUAUACCAAGAUUAAAGAUCUUCUGAGAGCUGUAGUCUAUAAUGAAGUCUGCAAAAGAUGUAUCUGAGCAAGAGACCAGGACCCAAUAUAUGGAUUUUUCUACGAGGCAAGAAAUCCUAUAAUCGAGUUGAGAACUGUACAAAGUGAAGCACUGCUAUCUGGUGGCCAAAAGGCACUUCUGAUUUUUUUCUGUCAGAAAAGACAAUAUACUCUCUAAAUCAAACAUCCUU